rnacentral:Y_RNA from 2 species
GACUAGUCCAAUGGUAGUGGGUUAUCAGGACUUAUUAACAUUAGUGUCACUAAAGUUGGUAUACAACCCUACAGUGCUAAAUUUGACUGGCUUUAA